GCCCGGAUGGCGGAAUGGCAUACGCACAACACUUAAAAUGUUGCGAGGUUUUCCUCAUGCGAGUUCGACUCUCGCUCCGGGCA
rnacentral:tRNA from 1 species